rnacentral:rRNA from 1 species
UACGUAGGUGGCAAGCGUUGUCCGGAAUUAUUGGGCGUAAAGCGCGCGCAGGCGGUCCUUUAAGUCUGAUGUGAAAGCCCACGGCUCAACCGUGGAGGGUCAUUGGAAACUGGGGGACUUGAGUACAGAAGAGAAGAGUGGAAUUCCCCUGUGUAGCGGUGAAAUGCGUAGAGAUGGGGGAGAACACUCGUGGCGAAGGCGGCCAGCUAGACCAGUUCUGACACUGAGGCGCGACAGCGUGGGGAGCAAACAGG